UACAGAGGGUGCUAGCGUUAAUCGGAAUUACUGGGCGUAAAGCGUGUGUAGGGGGUUAGAUAAGUUAGAUGUGAAAUCCCCGGGCUUAACCUGGGCAUUGCGUUUAAGACUGUUUAGCUUGAGUACUGUAGAGGAUAGUGGAAUUUCCAGUGUAGCGGUGAAAUGCGUAGAUAUUGGAAGGAACACCAGUGGCGAAGGCGACUAUCUGGACAGAUACUGACACUGAGACACGAAAGCGUGGGGAGCAAACAGG
rnacentral:rRNA from 1 species